AUCAUGGCUCAGGAUGAACGCUGGCGGCGUGCCUAACACAUGCAAGUCGAACGGAACUUCUUUGACAGAAUUCUUCGGAAGGAAGUUGAUUAAGUUUAGUGGCGGACGGGUGAGUAACGCGUGAGUAACCUGCCUUUGAGAGGGGAAUAACUUCCCGAAAGGGAUGCUAAUACCGCAUGAUGCAUAUUUAUCGCAUGGUAGAUGUGCCAAAGAUUUAUCGCUCAAAGAUGGACUCGCGUCCGAUUAGCCAGUUGGCGGGGUAACGGCCCACCAAAGCGACGAUCGGUAGCCGGACUGAGAGGUUGAACGGCCACAUUGGGACUGAGACACGGCCCAGACUCCUACGGGAGGCAGCAGUGGGGGAUAUUGCGCAAUGGGGGAAACCCUGACGCAGCAACGCCGCGUGAAGGAUGAAGGUUUUCGGAUUGUAAACUUCUUUUAUUUAGGACGAACAAUGACGGUACUAAAUGAAUAAGCUCCGGCUAACUACGUGCCAGCAGCCGCGGUAAUACGUAGGGAGCAAGCGUUAUCCGGAUUUACUGGGUGUAAAGGGUGCGUAGGCGGCUUGGUAAGUCAGAUGUGAAAUGUAUGGGCUCAACCCAUGCACUGCAUUUGAAACUAUUGAGCUUGAGUGAAGUAGAGGUAGGCGGAAUUCCCUGUGUAGCGGUGAAAUGCGUAGAGAUAGGGAGGAACACCAGUGGCGAAGGCGGCCUACUGGGCUUUAACUGACGCUGAGGCACGAAAGCGUGGGUAGCAAACAGGAUUAGAUACCCUGGUAGUCCACACUGUAAACGAUGAUUACUAGGUGUGGGGGUCUGACCCCUUCCGUGCCGGAGUAACACAAUAAGUAAUCCACCUGGGGAGUACGACCGCAGGGUUGCAACUCAAAGGAAUUGACGG
rnacentral:rRNA from 1 species